rnacentral:tRNA from 1 species
AAGGGAGACCUAAUUCUGGUAAGAGACGAAAAAAAGUAGUCGCUACCAAGAAUCAAUCCCAAAAGGUCGGAGCGAGGCGAAAUUGGCUUUCAAACUAGGUUCUGGGUUCAAACAAGACCUGAAUCAGGAACAAGGGCUAUUAGCUCAGGUGGUUAGAGCGCACCCCUGAUAAGGGUGAGGUCCCUGGUUCGAGUCCAGGAUGGCCCACCUGCACAGGUGGCAAAAACAAGAGAAGCGAGGAAUCAGCACCUUAUCUUACUGACAUAGUAAGAGAGAAUGCUGGCUCUGAGUAAAGAGUCCAGAGGAACCUUGAAAACUGCAUAGAGCUAGGUGAAAAAGCCAAAAAAGAAGACCGCAAGGUCAAGCUAAUAAGGGCUAACGGUGGAUACCUAGGCAC